GACACAUGUCAUUUAUUUGAAAGGGGCAAUUGCUCCACUACAAGAUGGACCUGCGUUGUACUAGCUAGUAGGUGAGGUAACGGCUCACCUAGGCGACGAUACAUAGCCGACCUGAGAGGGUGAUCGGCCACACUGGGACUGAGACACGGCCCAGACUCCUACGGGAGGCAGCAGUAGGGAAUCUUCGGCAAUGGGGGCAACCCUGACCGAGCAACGCCGCGUGAGUGAAGAAGGUUUUCGGAUCGUAAAGCUCUGUUGUAAGUCAAGAACGAGUGUGAGAGUGGAAAGUUCACACUGUGACGGUAGCUUACCAGAAAGGGACGGCUAACUACGUGCCAGCAGCCGCGGUAAUACGUAGGUCCCGAGCGUUGUCCGGAUUUAUUGGGCGUAAAGCGAGCGCAGGCGGUUUGAUAAGUCUGAAGUUAAAGGCUGUGGCUCAACCAUAGUUCGCUUUGGAAACUGUCAAACUUGAGUGCAGAAGGGGAGAGUGGAAUUCCAUGUGUAGCGGUGAAAUGCGUAGAUAUAUGGAGGAACACCGGUGGCGAAAGCGGCUCUCUGGUCUGUAACUGACGCUGAGGCUCGAAAGCGUGGGGAGCGAACAGGAUUAGAUACCCUGGUAGUCCACGCCGUA
rnacentral:rRNA from 1 species